rnacentral:rRNA from 1 species
UACGAAGGGGGCUAGCGUUGCUCGGAAUCACUGGGCGUAAAGCGCACGUAGGCGGAUUGCUAAGUCAGGGGUGAAAUCCUGGAGCUCAACUCCAGAACUGCCUUUGAUACUGGCGAUCUUGAGUCCGGGAGAGGUGAGUGGAACUGCGAGUGUAGAGGUGAAAUUCGUAGAUAUUCGCAAGAACACCAGUGGCGAAGGCGGCUCACUGGCCCGGUACUGACGCUGAGGUGCGAAAGCGUCGGGGAGCAAAUAGG